CUCGAGCCAGCAUUCCGUCGCUUGAGCGGAAUUCUGAAAACAAAGGUGGUCGCUCGAGUGUGGAAUCCUUCGCUCGAGCGAGGAAGCCAAAUUCUGGGUUUUCCAGAUUUGCUCCCAAGCUUCAAACCAUGAAUCAAACAUUCUAAAACUCAUCCUUUGGGCCAAAUUUCUGGAAACACUUAGAAACUCAUGAUACAAUAUGUUUUAAAGAUCAUUUCAUAAAAUCAAAGCCCAAAAGUAUGACAAUUGAACACCAAUACAACUUCAAAUAAAAGAACAUGGUGUAAUUAUGCCAUGCAUGUGUUUAUUUGAAUUCAUUGCUUCUAACACAUGAUCAAAUGAGCCAUUCUUUCCAAAAACAUGAUGAAUUCUUAGAUUACAACUAUAAUAUGAACAUGCAUGGAAGAACUUCAUGCAAAAUAACUUCAAACUCCAUGAUAUAGACAUGCAUGCAUGAAUUAAUGUUUCUUAAGCUUAAAUCUCAUAUCUCAUAAUUUAAUUCACUUGAAAUCAUAAGUGAUUCAACUUAAAUUCAAGACUAGGGACUUGGUUUCCUUACCUUAGAUGUUCAAAUGGGCAUAGGACACUAAAAUCUUGAGCUAGAUGAACUAAUCUCCAAAACUCCUUCAAUUUCCUCUCAAAUUCAAGCAAUACACUUGUUGAAUUAAAUUUUCCCCUAUUCUCCCUCUCUCUCAUGUUUUGGGCAGGAAGGUAGAUAGAGAAUGGUGUCAACCAAAAUGAAAUCAAACAAAUGGCCUUGUAAAGGCCCACCAAUGGAAAAUGUGUAAUAAACUCAAGCUAAAGUAAUUUAGCAUUAUUUAUUCUAAUUUAAUCAUUCCAAAUCGAAUUUUAAUUAAACCUACCAUAAAAUCAUAUAAAUCCUAAUUAGCAUAUAACACAAAUCAAUUUCUGAAUCGGUCGCCGAUAAGACUUUCAAUUCGCAAUUUGAAAUUAAAACAUGAACAGAUCAUUCUGUAACAAACAGAUAGAAAUGCAAUUAAACAACACACUCACGCAAUCAAUUUGGGGUUUCACCUUAAUUAAUUAUUUAUCAUGCUUAAUCAUGAAUUAACGCUAAUCAGAGGUGAGGGUUGUCACAAUAUAUGAUUGUACUUAGCUUUAUCCUUGGGAUUAUGAGGGUUCUAGUUUGAAUUUUACUUGAAUGAUGGGUUUUUGAUUUUGUAUUUUUCUGUUUAUUUGAUUUCUAUGUGCUGUAUAAAUGAUAAAAACUGUGUUCAUGUCCUGUCAUUAGACUCCAUGAUAAAAGAAAAAGAAAAUGGGGGAAAUUUUACAUUGGAGAGGCUUGGCUUAUCAUUAGCAUUCUUAAUGUCUUUCCGCCUUAGAAAAGCAAUACAAUGAUACGGGAUGUUUGUCUCAUACAAAAACCUUCUGUUGUCUUUGGCAGUGCCACUUUGAUGGUUGGACUAGCAGCCUUCAAACUAGAGCUGCACAAUUUGAGCAGGUAAGCAAGUAAUUGAGCAGCCUCGGAGGAGCACAGAUGUUUUCGAGGCUUCAAGGAAUAGCACUGACCGGAGAAAGAAACCAAGGCACAACAUCGAUAGGCCAAAAAAAAUGAAGACACUGCAUCCAAAGGAGAUGAAGUUGACACCUGAGAUCACUUUUGGGGGUGCUUGUAUUUGUAUGGGGUCUUAUGUAGUUUUUAUUUGUACGAAACAACCUUCUAUCUUUCUUUCUUUGUAUUUGUAUGGGGUCUCAUGUACUUGUAUUUGUAUAGUAUUAAUUUUUAUAAUGAAGCCUAUCCAAUCAAGAAAUGGUUUUCAAUUGACUUAAAAUUUCAAUUGACCAAAUACUUGAUAACAUUUGUAGCCAUUUCCUUUCUCACAUUUGUAGACCAAAUUCUUGGUUAGACCAAA